GCCUAGGUGGCUCAGUCAGUUGAGCAUCUGACUUUGGCUCAGGUCCUGAUCUCACGGUUCAGUUCAUGAGUUUGAGCCCCGUGUCUGGGCU
rnacentral:tRNA from 1 species